GAUGGGAUUUUCACCAUGUUGCCCAUUCUGGUCUUGAACUCCUGGGCUCAAGCGAUCCACUAGUCUCAGCUCCCAAAAUGCUGGGAUUACAGGAGUGAGCAGGGAUUUUUAAUCUUUAUGUUCUGAUUUAUCAUUUGUUCCUUAGGGCUUUGGCUUUUAGGUCUAUGAUCUACCUCAGAUUAAUUUCUGUAUAUGGUGUAAGAUAAGAGUUAAAAGUUAAUUUUUUUCUUAUAAAUAUCCUUGUAAACAGUAACAAACAACAUUGUUUGGCACAGACUUUGCUUUAUAUCCAAAUUGAGUAAUCAGUAUUACAUUAUAAAAUUAUUAGUUCUUUCAAAGUACUUGCAUGAUUAGCUAGCUCAUUGUUUACAGAAGCUAUUCUUUUAGGUCAGAAUUAUGGGUUUAUAUCUUUAGGAUCCAGUUAACUUGGCCUUGUUUUGUGGCCAUCGAAUGUAUUUUUCCUAACUUGCUUUAGUCAUUUGGUAGAUUUCUUUCAUCCUAAGAGGGUAUAUGAUAACUUCAUCAUGCUAUGAGAUAAAACAUUAGAGCAUAUGCCUUACCUGACUGUUAACUAAUUUUGUGUGAAAGAGAGUACAUUAUUACUUUUUAAGGAUACAGUAUUCAUAGUAUUAUAAUGUCUAAUGUAGCAUACUGUUUUUAUGCCAUACUAAAAUAAGCAAAAAUACGUUGAUUUUAGUAAACAUUAGUAAAUAAUUUUUCAGAGUUUUGUAUAAAGUGAGAAAUGUAGAUCUGACACUGUAAAGUCCAUUUGUUAGGUUUUGUGUGUAAAUGAUGGUGAGUAUAAAAAUUCAAGACAGAGGAAAAUUCAAAAUGUACAUUUUUGUAUACUUGUGCCAAUGUAUAGACCAUUCCAUGAACCCAAUUAUUGCCUUACAUUUCUGAGAUACCAGUGUUAAACAUGAGUUAUCUUUUAAGAGGCUGAAUUUGAAUUAUAUUACUCUGUUAGGAUUUUUGCCAGCUUUUGGUUAAUCAUUAUCUUGUUGAUUAUGUUUGGUUCAGGAUGACUCAUUUUUCAAGGAGCUUUAUUGCAACAUUACAUAUUUACUACAGGAAGCCUGGACGGAAAUGGGGCAUCAGGUUAUUGGAGAUUUUUUCUCCAAUCUUUAUUGCACCAAGUUUUAUUAAAGUUAAUUAUUUUUCAGUAACUGAAUUCCCUGUAGAACCUAGUACUUCAUUAACCAAAUGUUAUAGGAACAGUUACUCCUUUUUCAUUGCAGACAAAUAUAUAUCUUUGAUGAUUGUUUAAAUAUUGGUCAUACUUCCAUACUAUACAUUGACUAAACUUAGGUGGAGUAUUUUAUUCUCAUCGAAUUGAAUAUGGUCAUUAACUGAGAAUUUUGGAAUCAGAAAGGUUGGAGAUUUACCCUUGUUUGUAAAAUUUACUAGCUUUGGAAGCUUGGUCAGAUACCUCUCUGAGCCUUAGCAUUCAUUCAGUCUUUAAUGAGUGAAUUAACACAUUCAUUUAUUAAUGAAUUUGGAUAAGAAUAAUUACCUUGCAAGAUUAGAUUAAAAGGACAUAUAAAAGUAUUAGCACUUAAUAUGUGCUUAAUGACGAUAAUGAUCUAUUGACACUUGCUUAUAGUAAGUAUUGAAGUUAGGAGUGCCAGUCAUUUAGCCCUUCUCUCUCCAGGUUCUGAGAGAUAAAGGACACAGCAUAAGGCCAGUACUCUGGUCUGUUUCUAAAAUUUAGGCUCUCUGAUAUCAGCAGAAUUUGAGACCAUAACAUGGAUCUAAGGAUAAGUUGAGAGUCUGCUGCAGUCACCAGUGAAUCCAGACUGUGAGACUGUAGGGGAAUUCAUUCUGCCAUGGCUACUCUGAAUACACUUAAUCUGGCAACUAGUGAGAAGAUUAGAGGCUUACUUUAUGUACCUAGUUAUCAGCCUAACAAGAGCUGAAGUGAGAAAGGGAAAGAUGGCCUUGUUCUCUAUGCAGUAACCUAAUUUCCUUCUUGUUAAAAAUAAGGUCCAAGGAAAGCUAACCCACCAAAUUAGUAACAUCCCUUCCCCCUCUACCCCUGCAAGAGUUUGUGGCUUGAGUUUGUGGAAAGGAGACUGGGAGUUUUCUGUAAUACCUAAUACAGUAACUACCCUGUCUCCACCCUGCCCUCUACUGCGGGAAAGAGAAGGGAAGUCUCAUUCUUUAUAAUAGGAGAUUAGUAUAAGAGCGCCCCCUACUUUGAAAAAGUAAAUUUCACUUCUGUUCAGUGUUUUUAUAGCCUCAUAGAAUAAAUACAGUAGAAGAGCCCUGCAAAAAUGAAAAGCCAUGCAAGGAAUCAAAGUAAAUGUUGGCUUAGGGAAGUAAAUCGUGUCUUUAUUUUUUGAGACACGAUUUCUGUCACCCAGGUUGGAAGUGCAGUGGUGAGAUCACUGCUCUUUGUGGCUUUGACCUCCGAGGAUCAGGCGAUCCUCUCACCUCUGAUUCCCGAGUGGUUGGGACCACAGGCAUGCACCACCACUCCUGGCUAAUUUUUGUAUUUUUUUGUAGAGACGAGAUUUAGCCAUAUGGCCAGGCUGGUCUCCAACUAUGUGGGCUCAAGCGAUCUGCUUGCCUCAGCUUCCCGAAAUACUGGGUUUACAGGCAUGAGCCACCAUGCUGCCAGCCAUCUUUUAUUUUUAAUAGAAAAAUUGAUGUUCGUAGAGAAAAAUAACUCCCCAAAAAGGUAGAUAUAGGCAAUAAAAAUCACAAGUCAUCUAUUGGCAGGAGGUGAUAAGAGCUCUGUUUGCAAAGAAAUAUUUCAAGUGUCUACUUGAACAAAUACUCAAAAAUUUUUAAUGAAAAAGUAAGAUAGAAAUAGGGGAGACACUCUAGAGCACCGGGAGAAGGCUUGGUGUUUAACUCAAGAGGCACCUGUUUUAAUGAAUGGGGAGGGGCUGGUUGUGGUGGCUCACACCUGUAAUCCCAGCACUUUGGAAGACCAAGGUGGGAGGAUUGCUUGAGGCCAGGAGUUCAAGACCAGCCUGGGCAAGAUAGACCUAAAAAAAAGAAGGAAAAUUUUUAAAAAAUGAAAAAGUGGUAAGGAUGCUAAUUUGGGGAGGAAUAUUUCUUCCUGAAGUCUGCUAUUUUCUCUUUGAAAGAGGAAAUGAGGACACAUUCUGGGAAGUAUGAGGUAGAAAACUGGAAAAUUGAAAGCUGGAAGAGUGUUAUGGGAAUUUGGAAUAGUUACUGGGGCAAUGGGAAUUGGAGUUCACUUGGAAAAUACAGAGAGACAAAAAUGAGUUUGAUGACCAUGGGUUUUUAUGGUGGUCUGUUGUGUGUAUAUAUUCUCAUUCCUUCCCUCUGUCUGUCUCUCCAGUACUCAGCAGCCACUGUAUAGAAACAGAAAAUCUGAGCAGUCAAAACGUUCUGGUAUUGGUGGAGACAGGACUUGACAAAGAAAAGUGGUGUGGGAAGACCCAGGGGCCAAAAGUUUAAAGUAUUGCAGUGAGAGUGGUUGAAGUGAUAUGUCUUGGGGGUUUAGGCUGGAGAGGGAACAAAUUGAAGCCAAGACAAGGCUGAUAGGUGGGGAGAAGUGGAAGAAUAUUAACACCAAAAGUUUCCAUGAAGCUAAAGAGUGAAUUGGGAUGGGAAAUAGGAGUGAAAGAGACAAAGGGUAAGAACUUCUGGUUAUGGGCCAAGAUAAAGAGUUUUAAGAUUUCAGAUGAAUAAUUGCUGGGGAUGAUAAAGUGAGUGGUUAUAGAGGUGAAUUAUUCAACUGAGUAGUGGCUAUCUCUUCACUCCUUAAGGAGGAGAGCAGCUAGGAUAUUCACGUGGAUCUGGAAGUCGCCCAUGCUAAAGGUGGUUGGAAAGGUAAGUUAGAUAGUAAGAUCAAAACUUUAUAAGUAAGUUGAAGAGUGACUGAGAAGUUGAUUGAUGAUAACGAUUAAUAAUUAGGUUAGUUGUUAGGUGCUAGUUAUAAAGAAGGAAGGUUUCUUAGGAGGCAUUUGGAGUAGUCAUAUGUAUGCAGCAAUAGAAAGAACACAGGAAAAUGCUGUUAGCUCCCUGUUUUCUAUAUGAGAGGUAUAUGAGAAAGAAUAGUUGCCCUUUUGACCCAGUUGUAAUGGAAGUGGUGUCCUGUGGGAAAGCUGGUUUCAAUUAGAGCGAAAAGGUAAAUUGAGGUUCUGUGAAGGGUCUAGAGCAGUUUAUUUGAAAAUAAGCAUUACAAAUGGCAAUAGUGAAAAAGGUUGGAAAAGAGGGUAACCUUUUGGGAGAGUGAAUGGGUAAGCAAGAGGAGGAACCCAAGCCUUACACAAAGUCAAAGUCGUAAUUUACUAGUGAGAUGGUAAAUGUACCAGGGAAAUGAAAGUGAUCUGUGGGCUAUUGUGGAAGCAUGGAAAGAGACCAUUUACUUUAAAGUGAUAAGUAUAUGAAGUAUCAUUUAUGCCAGUCUUAAAAAACAAUUUUGACAUUGGAUCAUUCUUUAAUGAGAUGAACAAUGGCUGAGUAAAUAAGGUUGCUAAGAUUUAGAAUGUAAAUAACAGUAUUGUGUAGACAUGGGAAAAAGAAUUUCAACAAAAAUUAUAGCCUUGCUCUACAUAUGACCUACAACCUGUAGAUAGCAGUCUUUUAUAAUUUGGUAUAAAUGCUUAUAUGGAUAAAUGUUAAUUUGAGGUUGUCAUGUAUUUGGUUGUCAGGCAUGUUGAAUUCGAUGAAUGCCGAUUUCUUAUUUGCUGGUCAUUGAGAUCAAAAGCUCUCUUUUGGCUUGAACUCAAUUUCUCCAGUUGAAAAGAUAGUUUUGUAAAUUCUGGCAGUAAUUCAGACUUAACAAACUUUCUUCAUAGAGACAGUAAUCCUCAAGUUCUGCAGUUUGACACUAAAUAUCAUAACAAUUCUAAAUUCAUAUCUGAAGGAAUGUUUUAAAUCUUUUUUGGCAUUUUUAAAGAGUUUUUGCAGAUACUCAUAGUCUUGGCAUGCCCUCUGUUGAAUCUUUCGUGGGAGAAAGAACGUAAAGCAAAGGACUGAAAUUUCCAGUGCUUUCCAGGGGACGGUAUGGGGAAUAGGCAGGAAAUCAGAGCCCACCUAGAGCACAGUUGAUUCCAAGUGUUUUCCACUUUCCCUGUUCUCUCCAUGGGCUGCCUGCUGUAUUCUCCUAAGGAUGACUCUGAGAAAUUAAGUGAAUUGCAUCUCCUAAUUGUUGUCUACAACAGUAAUGUGACAGAAGUAUAGGACUUUUAAGUUCUUUUAAUUGAAG